ensembl:lncRNA
UCCUGACCUCAACCCCAUCGAACACCUUUGGGAUGAAUUGGAAAUGCCAACUGUGAGCCAGGCCUAAUCGCCAAACAUCAGUGUUCGACCUCACUAAUGCUCUUGUGACUGAAUGGAAGCAAGUCCCCACAGCAAUGUUCCAACAUCUAGUGGAAAGCCUUCCCAGAAGAGUGGAGGCUGUUAUAGCAGCAAUGUUCCAACAUCUAGUGGAAAGCCUUCCCAGAAGAGUGGAGGCUGUUAUAGCAGCAAUGUUCCAACAUCUAGUGGAAAGCCUUCCCAGAAGAGCGGAGGCUGUUAUAGCAGCAAUGUUCCUACAUCUAGUGGAAAGCCUUCCCAGAAGAGUGGAGGCUGUUAUAGCAGCAAUGUUCCUACAUCUAGUGGAAAGCCUUCCCAGAAGAGUGGAGGCUGUUAUAGCAGCAAUGUUCCAACAUCUAGUGGAAAGCCUUCCCAGAAGAGUGGAGGCUGUUAUAGCAGCAAUGUUCCUACAUCUAGUGGAAAGCCUUCCCAGAAGAGUGGAGGCUGUUAUAGCAGCAAUGUUCCAACAUCUAGUGGAAAGCCUUCCCAGAAGAGUGGAGGCUGUUAUAGCAGCAAAGGGGGGCGACCAACUCCAUAUUAAUGACCAUGAUUUUGGAAUGAGAUGUUGGAUACGUAUAUAUAUAUAUUCUCAUAUUCACUGCUUUUUAUUUAUGAUUAUCCCAGUGGGUGUGUGUCUGUGAUUGGUUGUCGUUCCAGGUGGGUGUGUUGGUGAUUGGUUGUCGUUCAAGGUGUGUGUGUUGGUGAUUGGUUGUCGUUCAAGGUGGGUGUGUUGGUGAUUGGUUGUCGUUCAAGGUGGGUGUGUUGGUGAUUGGUUGUCGUUCAAGGUGUGUGUUGGUGAUUGGUUGUCGUUCAAGGUGUGUGUUGGUGAUUGGUUGUCGUUCAAGGUGUGUGUGUCUGUGAUUGGUUGUCGUUCAAGGUGUGUGUCUGUGAUUGGUUGCCGUUCAAGGUGUGUGUCUGUGAUUGGUUGUCGUUCAAUGUGGGUGUGUUGGUGAUUGGUUGUCGUUCAAUGUGUGUGUCUGUGAUUGGUUGUCGUUCAAUGUGUGUGUCUGUGAUUGGUUGUCGUUCAAUGUGUGUGUCUGUGAUUGGUUGUCGUUCAAUGUGUGUGUCUGUGAUUGGUUCUGUGUUUUCUCCAGCGUCUGUUCCCUCAGUGAGUGUGUCAGGGUCAGGGACCGAGCACAGUGACAGCAACGGUCAUGGAGCCCCCAACCUUGACCCCAGCUCUAACCCCAGCACAGCACUGCUGCCCCCUGCUGACGAGAGGCUGUUUGAAGAGGUGAUAGUUCUCCCUGCAGACUCCAGACUUCCUCCUCCUGGUGAUGAAGAGGAGGAAGAAGAGCAGCUUGUCAUUGCGUUCCAGGAGAACGGUAUCGUCAUGCCUCUGAUUGGAGGAGUGGUCGACACCCCGAUACAACACACAGCAGAUGUUGUCUGAUGACUGGAAAAGACAUGGUGGAGGGGGAGAUGGUGGAGGACACAUGGUGGAGGACACGUGGUGGAGGACACAUGGUGGAGGACACAUGGUGGAGGACACGUGGUGGAGGACACAUGGUGGAGGACACAUGGUGGAGGACACAUGGUGGAGGACACAUGGUGGAGGACACAUGGUGGAGGACACAUGGUGGAGGGGGAGAUGGUGGAGGACACAUGGUGGAGG